ACUGUUUUACAUUUUUAUAAAUGUUUUCGGGGGUGGAAAGACAUGCAAGUUUUUGCAAAAGAAAACACUAUUUCGAUGAACGAAAACACAUAUUUAUAAACCAUGUCGCAAAUGAUUUUCAAUGAACUUGAAUGGUUUACGAACGAUUAUACUAAACAUACCGGUUUUACAAAACAUGCAUGAUUUUCAUGACUAGUGACGAGAAUGUCCUAGUUACAACAACGGGACUGGGUUGGCCUGCGUACGAAAAACGAGACAACUCAGUGAGACCAUGUCCCCCUUUUCUUUCAACGUUUCGGUUAACAACUUUCAGGGGGAAAUACAUGUCAAACUUAGGUAUGAUUAAGUUAUGGAAUGAACUCUUAGAUCAUGUGAGCAUAGGCUGUAACUGAGGUGCCAUUAAUCCUUUUGAGGACCAAGGAACAAAGGUUAGAUCUAAUGGGUACGGGCGAGCCCCACUCACGGUCCAUGGGUGACCACUUAGAGUGCUGUUGUGUCCAGCGUCGAGAGUUCGACAAUUAAAUUGCCUACGCGGGUUGAGUACCUCCUAUGUCGUCGCAUAUAUUAAUGUCCUCGCGAAACAUUAAUGAUCAACAUGUUCAUAGACGCUUUUCAUACCAACUUACAACACUAUAACUUUCAAAUGUCUUUAAGAUUCAUUUGACACAAACUCACAAAUACAUGGUUUUACAAACUUUGGUAACGUUUUCAACUUAUGUACAAGUAAGAGGACGAGUUGGUCUUGCUUACAAAGACUCUUAUGGGCUAGACUCACAACAUUCAUAUAUCAUGCCGAGAAAAUGAUUUUCCUAUACUUUCUCAACAACUUUUAAACCGGUAAAAAAAAUAAAAGGAUUUGUUUAAAAUCUUUUUCAAAACAAACUAUGAACUCGCUCAACUUUAUGUUGACUUUUUCGCAUGUUCUUUCUCAGGUUGCGUUUUCAAAGCUAUGGAACGGUUGGAAUAGGAGAACCCAUGGGAAUUUGAGUACUUAGUGGCGUUCACUUUCUAGAAGUCUUAGCAUUAUUAGCUUCCGCUGUGCAAUGAAGAUAUCGGUCCAGUCACGCCAGCUCUGAUAUUUCGGGGUGUGACAGAUUGGUAUCAGAGCUAUAGGUUUCAGCGAAUUAGGUUUCUGUGUAGAGAUACCUAGGCUUUAACCUCACUUUCCCUCUGGGGACUUAGAUUUUUAAGACAUUGAAUACGUAUUGAACGCAUAGGAUUCGAAUAUGGGUUCCAACCGUUGCCAAGAACAAUGAGUCAACUGUUUUGAUUUUAAACAUAUACAAAUGUUGUGUCGAUACACAGUACAUGAAACAAUUACACACAUAAAGCAAGACAGUGAGAGUUGUGGUAACACACAUUUAGGACCUCUGGAAAACUUAUGUCGAAAUUCAUUAAAGGUCCUCACGUAGGAACUAUGACUAUUAACUCGGGCAAACGCCAUCAUAUUAUGUCGUCUAUGCUAUUUCACUUACCCGAGCAGGUAACCUACGCGGAACAAAACGCUAGUGCACAAGGAUACAUGAAACUCAAAUUAUACGUCAAUGGAUGUCGGAGCACAUCACAUUCUACGCAGAACGAAACGCCAGUGCACAAGUAUACAUGAAACUUAAACUACACGUCAGCGGACGUCAAAGUAUAUCACACACGACUUUCGAGACAAGGCCUUGGGAAAACAUGAUUGGGCACGAUAGCAACGAUGCUAAUCCCGACAGCGGGAGAACUUCCAACUACAAUGUAGCACUUUGCCACGUGAUCAUGCAAACGACACGAAUCUCGCUGAGGUACGUUAGAACAAGAUUUCACAACGGCCGGUACUUAGUCUAAAAGAGACUCACAGUUGUUGGCGCUGCAAAAGAAGUCACAGGUCUUCACAUCCCCCUAUUUCAUUUAUGGCAAUUACACAAUGUUCGACAUUCCAUGGUAAUGUCACUUAACAAAAGUUAUCACACGAAAUUCCAUGUAAAGUCCUCAAAAUUCUUUUGUUGAAAUUCCGACAUUUGCAUAUAGUGAGUAGGUUUUGGUAUUUCUACUCCCCCUAAUGAUCCUUGCAUCCCGAAAAUUUUCUUUCAUAAUAGCGAAUACUCAUUUGCUUCAUUCUUGACGAAUUCAUAUGUUACACAUGCGUUAUUUGUUAAGCAUGUGGCUUCACUUGAAAUUGUUGCUUUAUCAAGUUCAAAUAUUAUUUCGGUAUCUUCACUCCUUGCAUUGUGAUCUAGCUAAACCACAUUAUUGCAUAAUGUUGACUCUUUGAUAUCGAGUCAACGAAACUCGUUGAAACUCCUUUCUUUUCAAGCUACAUACAUGGUUUUUCGUUGUAACCAUGGCAAAACUUUCUUGUUGAUACAUGUAAUCAUUGUUGAAUUGCGCUUAACCCAAGUUCAAUUGAUUAAACUUGCUCGUUAUAUAUAUUCGAUUCAAGAUUCCAUAUGAUGGAUUGAAGCCAUCAUAUUCGAAAUAAUCCCAACAAGCACUUCAUUUGCUUUGAACCAUAACAAGCUUGUUUGGUCUUUGACUUCAUUGAAUCGUUUCUUUGAUCACGAUCACCUUGUGGUGACAUUUUCACAAAUUUGAAGCUUGCGCUAACCUCGUUUACACACAUCAUGUACGGAUUUAAUUAUUUAUCUAUUUGUUUAUUGAUAUUAAAUCUGCUUUGUUGAUUUGUCAUAUUAAAGCAAUCUUAAUACACUCGUGUGUUAAGAUAAUGGUACACAAAUUCAUUUCGUAUUUUAGUGUACCUCUUAACGGUUCUUUCAGCAUCGAUCGAACAUUUUGUGAUAUUCAUUGCUUUUUCAUUUUCGAUCGAAAACAUUAUUUCCUUGUUUCAUUUUCAAUUGAAAAUCCUAUGAGAUUUGUUUGAAACAAACAUUCAGAUUUACUUCGUUGAACCUUCAGUUGAAUUCAACCACGGUGAACUUGUUUGAUCACCGUUAUUGAAAUAUUUGAAUCACUACAACACCUUGUGGUGUCGGUAUAAACUUGUAGCUUGCGCUAAUCAUGAUCGAUCAUUUCAUGCAAAACUACGUACGCUCUUUGCUUGGCUAAUCAUUUAAAUAGUCUUAAUGCAACUAUGUAUUAAGACGAUGAUACACCAGGUUCGGUUGUAUUCCAUUUUGGUGUAUCCUUGCAACACGUUGAUUUUAUUCAUUUAAUGGUUCGAGAGUUGAUAACUCAUUUUUAUGAUUCUACUUAUUUGAGUUUGUUGAAUUCGAGUUUCACUUAUGCAACAACCAACGCUAGAUUCCGUUGGUAGUAAAUUCUAUUGUUUCAAAAAUUGAUUUGCAGUUAGUGAACGUUCAUUUGGAAUUCCACUGGUUGAAUUUCCUAUUUUGUUGAACCUAGUAAACCUAGUCACAUUGGUGAUAGUAUCACAACGCUUCGUUCACUUGGCACCGAUUUCUGGAACAAAAUCAGUUGAACCAUUGGUUUCUUAUUGAUGCAGAAUGUCCUUACACUCACGUAAUCUGAAUAAGUCUUGAUUCGAUUACGCGGUCAUUUACUUUGGUAUUACUCGGACUUACCUAGGAAUGAUAUAACUCUGAGGAGAUAACAUCGUCUAAAUUUCGAGGACGAAAUUUCUGUAACAGGGGGAGAAUGUGACAACUGACAAAUUUCCGGGUUAAUACGUACGACUUAAUCACUAUUUAUUUAGUUAAUUGCGUGCAUUUAGACUUAAUUAUAUAAUUAAUUGGGUCCAUAAGGUCUAGCAAGGUCCAGUUAAAUGCAUGGGUUCACAUUUAUUGUCGUUGGUAUCACCUUAUCGUGUAGCGAUAAAAGUGUAUAAAAAAACGAGCGUUGGUGGAUUAUCCGGUAGACUAUACAAAAAAAAAAGGAUGCUGACACGGUUCCAAUAUGCCUGGAACUUUAAAAUUUAUGCCAUUAUUAUUAUUAUACGUUCGGCGAAAAAAAAAAUAGAUCAAACUUAUUACGGAUAAGAAAAGUAUCGUAUUCUUUCGGUUUAUCGCAUAAAUGUAAGUUCGAUUUCGUUUUAACAUCUAUACUUGGGGUUUCUUGCGAAACAAUAUGUUAUUAUGAAAUUUUUAUUUUUGUCUAGUAAUACUAGACAAGAUUAGUGUGUUAACAAAACUCUAAUCACCCGAAUAGUUUAAUUGCCUAAAUAUCUAGAAGUUCACUUUUGCAAACAAUAAAAGUAAACAAGUCUUACCAAACCAUCCAUCCCUCCCAUACGUCUAGACCACACCACCACACUCUUGUCCUUGUGAUUGGAUUGGUUGAAAAAUAAGUGCACAAGCAUGGCAGUAAAUUGAGUAUGUUGGCAGACGUAUUGUAUUAUUAGAUUACAAAACUAUCAUUCACUCAUUUUCAAAUAAACAUUCACUCUUCCUCCCCUCUGUUGAGCUCGCAACCAAACCCCAAACCCCUUUUGGUCAUUUACUAAAAUACAUAAAAGGCAAGUUUUAUACUCCCCUUCUCAAUCAAACCCUCAUUUUGCUUCAACAUUCAGCCGACACCCCCUUAAUUCUCUCUCUCUUACUUGGGUCCGGCCACCGGAGCUCUGGCCGGAGCGCGGCGGAGGACGGUGGUGGUUCACGGCGGCGCCGCCGCUAUGGCGGCGAUGAGGUGGUUUUUCGGCGGUGGUUCACUGGUGUACCCCCACUAAAUCAUACCCUCUAAACUCGUUUCUGGGCACUAUUUUACCAUACGAGCAACAGAGAUGGCAGUUACGAACACCGGCAGCCGCGAUUUUUAAUGUUCUUCUCCGGUGAAGACAGAUGAUAAUGAAGAUGAUUAAUGAUGAUGGUGAGGUCGAAGGUCGCCGACGGCGGUGCUCGGUUUCCGGAAUUAAUGGCAACAGCAACCGCCAGAGCCGUGACAGCUCCGUUUCAAAUCGGUUCAAGCUUCAUUUCGAGUAUUAGAUUCACAGUGGUUCGAGUUUCGGUUCUCGGUUUUAAGCGGGUCAGUUUGGUUCAACGUUUUGGGUCUUGUUCGGUUCUAUGUCGGAUCAGAUUGGGUUUCGGUUCAAGAUGUGAACUUGGUUCAGUUAUGGCAUGGUUCAACAGGUUCGGGUCUUUGUUCAGUCUCGGGUCACAUUUCAGUUUUGGUUCGGGGCUCGUUUCGGGACACGGUCAACUGGUCAACGGUUCGGUCAAAGAUGGUCAGAACCAGUCAACGCGAGUCAAAGACUCGGUCAAACCCGAGUCAACUCGGGUCAGCAGCAGUCAACACAGCAAAAACUGGUCAACCCGGUUCACAUUUCGAUUCGGUGUUCGGAUCCAUUGCGGUAAACAAAAGUCAACGGUCAAACUUGGUCAACGACAGUCAAAACAGUCAACUCAAAGGCCCGGUAACAAGAUUUUAACGUCGCGAGAUCAUUAUAUUUCGUUAUUUUUAGAUUUUAGAUUACGCGAACCGAGCUCGAACCCCCGUAACAUAGUUUAUACAUUAGUGAUUAUUUACGCUUUUACAUUUAACGAAAAUUUUAGAUAUAUAUUGUUUGUUGAA